rnacentral:misc_RNA from 1 species
AUUUGCGCCUCUUAACUACCAGCCGGUGUUUCAACAUCUCCAUAUACUUCAAUUGCUUCAGAACUUCCUCCGUCUCUAGUUCUUGAGGUACAGCACAAUCGGCGUGAGCUGGAUCCCAAAGGACAGAACGGAAGCACUCCCAAUUAUCUGUUUGAACUUCAAAUAGCGGCGCCCUUCGCCACUUCCCACAGAUACUUCCAUCCACACGUUUCCCAAAACCUUCGUUGACCUGCCGGCACUGAAGCCAAUUGCCAAUAGAGCUAAUCCUCAUAUGUUCGUUAGAAGAUUGUUUAGGCAAGCAGAGAUUCUCUGAAGGUGUGAUUUCAAAUGGUUCACCACUACAACCAGCGUCAUCUGUCGCUGGACCUGUCCAGUCAGGAAUCUCAGCUUGAUACUUUUUGCUAAUACGAACACGAGUUUUAUAACCGGUGU